rnacentral:rRNA from 1 species
GAAGCGGCAUCAGCUCAAAUUUGAAAUCUGGCUCUUUCAGGGUCCGAGUUGUAAUUUGCAGAGGGCGCUUUGGCGUUGGCAGCGGUCUAAGUUCCUUGGAACAGGACGUCACAGAGGGUGAGAAUCCCGUACGUGGUCGCUAACCUUCGCCGUGUAAAGCCCCUUCGACGAGUCGAGUUGUUUGGGAAUGCAGCUCUAAAUGGGAGGUAAAUUUCUUCUAAAGCUAAAUACUGGCCAGAGACCGAUAGCGCACAAGUAGAGUGAUCGAAAGAUGAAAAGCACUUUGGAAAGAGAGUCAAAUAGCACGUGAAAUUGUUGAAAGGGAAGCGCUUGCAGCCAGACUUGCCUGUAGUUGCUCAUCCGGGCUUUUGCCCGGUGCACUCUUCUGCGGGCAGGCCAGCAUCAGUCUAGGCGGUUGGAUAAAGGCCUCUGUCACGUACCUCCUUUCGGGGAGGCCUUAUAGGGGAGGCGAAAUGCAACCAGCCUGGACUGAGGUCCGCGCAUCUGCUAGGAUGCUGGCGUAAUGGCUGUAAGCGGCCCGUCUUGAAACACGGACCAAGGAGUCUAACAUCUAUGCGAGUGUUUGGGUGUCAAGCCCGAACGCGUAAUGAAAGUGAACGGAGGUGGGAUCCCUUUAGGGUGCACCAUCGACCGAUCCUGAUGUCUUCGGAUGGAUUUGAGUAAGAGCAUGGCUGUUGGGACCCGAAAGAUGGUGAACUAUGCUUGAAUAGGGUGAAGCCAGAGGAAACUCUGGUGGAGGCUCGCAGCGGUUCUGACGUGCAAAUCGAUCGUCAAAUU